rnacentral:lncRNA from 1 species
CCGAUUUAAAAGCAGUUGGACUGCAAAUGGCUCUCGAUUUAAUUCACGCUAAGGACAAACGUGAUUUGGUGACGGGAUUGAAAACUCGCACCAAAGCUGGCAGACCAAACAAUGAAACAAUGAAUCAAAUGCGCGAUUCUUUUCCGUUUCUGAAUUAAAGGGCAAUAAUUCGUUGACAACAUUGAACAAAAAGGGUUGACUUUACAUUCAUUUGUUAACAAUUUGGCGUUAAAUGCACUGACAUCAUUGAAAGCAGGACGGAAGCGAUCAAAUUUAUUUUGUUUAUGCUAAGAUCUAGUUGGAGUCGAGGUAUUUUUGUAACUGAGUACUUAGCCUUACUGCAGCUGAAAAGGAAGGAUUUUACGCAGAUUGAUGGGUCACUUGAAAUCAUUUGGUAAAGUUUUCUUUCCCUUAACCAUUAUCGUGAUACAAGUGAUCUAGGUAUUGAUGUGGAUACCGCUGUUACCUUUUUCGCAAUUGCAUUCCGACUUAAAGGUGUUCUAAAUAAUUGGUGUAAAAUGGAAGCAUCUUCUUUGACACUCCGAUUUCCAAUUGGUGUGAUUAUUAUUUUAUCAAAAACUUCCUGUAUCAACAGCACAAACCCAUUUUUUUUCUGCUUCUAAGUUGAAUGCAAUUUCUUCAUCUAAUAUAGAUGAACAUGAAAAUCGCUAAAAGCUGAAAAAUAGUCAUCGACUGGAAUUACGUUAUUUUAUACCUAAAAAAGUCAAAACGUAUUCAUAGAAAAAUCAUUUCCGUGUCGUAUGAUAUUUUCUUAGAGUAAGUUUCCUGUUGAACAAUGUUUUCUAUUUCAUGAAAAUUGAUCCG